GUUCCUUCCCCACACAUGCUUUGUCUCUCAAAAAAUGAAUAAACGUUAAAAAAAAAAUUUUUAAAAAAGAAAAACAAUUUAGUUCCCACACAUCAAUAAACAGGAGAGUAAUGCAAGAUUUGCGC